rnacentral:rRNA from 1 species
GACGAACCGUCCUAACGUUGUUCGGAUUCACUGGGCUUAAAGGGCGCGUAGGCGGCUCGGCAAGUCGGGGGUGAAAUCUUUCAGCUUAACUGGAAAAUAGCCUUCGAUACUGCCGGGCUGGAGGGAGAUAGGGGCACGCGGAACUUCCGGUGGAGCGGUGAAAUGCGUAGAUAUCGGGAGGAACACCAGUGGCGAAGGCGGCUCUCUGGAACGCAACUGACGCUGAGACGCGGAAAGCGUGGGGAGCAAACAGG